AACGCUAGCUACAGGCUUAACACAUGCAAGUCGAGGGGCAGCAUGAUUGAAGCUUGCUUCAAUUGAUGGCGACCGGCGCACGGGUGAGUAACACGUAUCCAACCUUCCGUACACUCAGGGAUAGCCUUUCGAAAGAAAGAUUAAUACCUGAUGGUAUCUUAAGCACACAUGUAAUUAAGAUUAAAGAUUUAUCGGUGUACGAUUGGGAUGCGUUCCAUUAGGUAGUAGGCGGGGUAACGGCCCACCUAGCCUACGAUGGAUAGGGGUUCUGAGAGGAAGGUCCCCCACAUUGGAACUGAGACACGGUCCAAACUCCUACGGGAGGCAGCAGUGAGGAAUAUUGGUCAAUGGACGAGAGUCUGAACCAGCCAAGUAGCGUGAAGGAUGAAGGUCCUACGGAUUGUAAACUUCUUUUAUAAGGGAAUAAAACCUCCCACGUGUGGGAGCUUGUAUGUACCUUAUGAAUAAGCAUCGGCUAACUCCGUGCCAGCAGCCGCGGUAAUACGGAGGAUGCGAGCGUUAUCCGGAUUUAUUGGGUUUAAAGGGAGCGCAGACGGGUCGUUAAGUCAGCUGUGAAAGUUUGGGGCUCAACCUUAAAAUUGCAGUUGAUACUGGCGUCCUUGAGUGCGGUUGAGGUGUGCGGAAUUCGUGGUGUAGCGGUGAAAUGCUUAGAUAUCACGAAGAACUCCGAUUG
rnacentral:rRNA from 1 species